GUCCGAGUGCUGGAAUUGGUAGACAGGACGAGCUUAAGUUUCGUUGAUAUAAUAUCGUAGAGGUUCAAGUCCUCUUUUGGAUA
rfam:Rhynchosporium commune strain TK7 genome assembly, contig: RCO7_mito